GACGAACGCUGGCGGCGUGCUUAACACAUGCAAGUCGAACGGAAAGGCCCUGCUUUUGUGGGGUGCUCGAGUGGCGAACGGGUGAGUAACACGUGAGUAACCUGCCCUUGACUUUGGGAUAACUUCAGGAAACUGGGGCUAAUACCGGAUAGGAGCUCCUGCUGCAUGGUGGGGGUUGGAAAGUUUCGGCGGUUGGGGAUGGACUCGCGGCUUAUCAGCUUGUUGGUGGGGUAGUGGCUUACCAAGGCUUUGACGGGUAGCCGGCCUGAGAGGGUGACCGGCCACAUUGGGACUGAGAUACGGCCCAGACUCCUACGGGAGGCAGCGGUGGGGAAUAUUGCACAAUGGGCGGAGGCCUGAUGCAGCAACGCCGCGUGCGGGAUGACGGCCUUCGGGUUGUAAACCGCUUUCGCCUGUGACGAGGCGUGAGUGACGGUAAUGGGUAAAGAAGCACCGGCUAACUACGUG
rnacentral:rRNA from 1 species